rnacentral:rRNA from 1 species
AAUAUACUUUAUCACAGAUCGCGGGAAACCGUGAUAACGGGACGCGGAGUGCCAGCAAAGUACACCUGUCCAGGUGUGAAACUACACCUGUGGAAGGGCGGGGCAAGACCGGUGCCAGCCGCCGCGGUAACACCGGCGGCCCGAGUGGGGCCGGGAAAUUGGGUUAAGGCCGCCCCCCGUUUGUCCGCCUCCGGGAAAUCUGGCGGUUUAACCGUUAGGUUUCGGGGAUACUGCCAGGCUUGAACCGAAAAGGAGGGGGCCUACAGGGUUAGAAUAAUUUUGAACCCCGGGGGACCCCCCGUGGGGAAGGGGUCUUACCAAAACGGGUUCGACGGUGAGGGACAAAAGCUGGGGCCACGAACCGGAUUAAAUACCCGGGUAGUCCCACCCGUAAACAAUGCUCGCUAGGUGUCAGGCAUGGGGGGACCGUGUCUGGGGCCGCAGGGAAGCCGUGAGGCGAGCCACCUGGAAAGUACGGCCGCAGGGUGGAAACUUAAGGGAUUUGGGGGGGAAAAGGGGGAAUCCGUUUAAACCUGCGGAACUAGUCCCUUUAUGGAGGGUUAUUUCUGAGCUUGGCGUAAUCAUGGUCAUAGCUGGUUUCGGAAAAUUUAUUUCCUCCAUUAGGGAGUUGAAAUAACAUUGCGUGGCCUUUUUUUCAGAAUUUUUGGGCGGU